rnacentral:ncRNA from 1 species
CGAAUCCACGCGGGAGAGUUCCCUGCCGCGCACAGUGUGCGGGUCGCCGGGGCGCCGAAGGAGCAAGUCCUCCCUUGAAUCUCUCAGGCACCGAUACCGCGCAGGAUGA